GGCUAUCCUCUGGGUUUUUAUUUUGAUCAGUCCUUGUGAUCUAAUCAGGCAUUUCUAGUGUUCACAGUUUGUGUCUUUUAGAUGAAGUGAUCUCACUGAUGCUGACUGAAAACAUUUUGAAGUGAGCCCUACUUACGUAUCAAUGUGUCUCCCAAAACUCAUGAUGUCAGUUGACAUCUACUCAUUCUCUAACAGCAGGAGGACUUUUUCUUAAUUAUGAAAAAAAUGCUGGUUACAACAAAUAAUUUAUUCCCUACCUAUUCCUAUGAAUAGAAAAUAUAGUAUCCCUCGGUUAAAAGGGUUAAACAGAAAGGUCCACCAAUGUUACAUUGAAAGUAGGUUCAUGGAUUGGAACUCCGAGACUCUGGAAUCGCAGUCUGGUAUUAAAUAUAUAGUUCAGUGGUGGUGGUGGGGUCAUUACUUUAGCCUCAUUGCCACAUCUAAAAUGUGACAUUAACAGAAGUGACCACCUCACAAGAGUGCUGUUAUAAGACUAAAUGAAAUAAAUCUAAAACGUGGGGUGAGUAGGUAAGUACACAACAAAUGCUAGUGACUCUUUCCGCUUGUGAGAAAGUCCAAUAGCAAAGGCACGGAACUCACCAGUCUAUGGCGCAGUGCUAUAAACAAAGAAAGGAUGAUUCCAUAAAAUAAUAAUUAAAGAAAAAGAUAUUACAUUUAAAAGAGUCAAUUUUCAGGUUGCCGCCAAAUGUUAUUGAAAACCUACUCAUACUCAGAGUGAGAGCGUGAAAACAAUUGUGGGUACCCAUACAGCCUGUAUCCAUCUUUGUCUAGUGUGCUCACAGUUUACAAAUAGAAAGGGUCAUGAGACUUUAGCCCUGCACACCAAAUCCCGCAUCCAAACGUACAGAGCUGCCUGUUCUUCUGCCGCCAGACGGAUGGCUAUUCGAGGACAGAUUAGGAGACACUUGAGACGCGGACGCCCAAGGCUUGCAGUCCUAACCAUAAUAAACAUUUUCUUUUUCAGUAAACCAAAUGCGAUGGGAGCAGCUGCACCAGCGAAGUACCAUUUUCACAGUUACUUCUAGCAAUGACCACACUUUAAUGUGUUUCCAACACAUGGGGCUCUCUCCAGUUAUGUGGAUCACAGUUUGACUCAAGUUGGGGAGCCUCUAGUUCCUCUCCCAUCAGAGCCCUUUGGUCUUUGCUUCAGCAGAAGAAUGAUCUCUGGUUUUCUGUCACUUAAAUUUAGGGGGAAACAUGUGACAGGUUCCGAGUUUAUUUUUAAAAAUGCAUGAAAGUUUCUAAAUAAAUUUUAGUAAACUCUAUGCCGAUAGUCUGCAUAGAUCUCUGUGGUAGGGUCUCUAAGACCUCGCUUGGAGACCACGUUUUGACUAUGCCAUCAGUUACGUUAUGGUGAUAACAGCCAUCUGUCCUUAAAUGUGUGAAGUCAAUGUGUUAAUCUAUAAUCACGAUGCUGGUGAGAUGUAUAGACAUGCUUUGGAAGAAUGAAACAUUUUUAGUUAUUAUGAACUUGUUUGCAGUAACACAAUGGAUCUGAGGGGGCAACUAUCCUCCUGAGUGAUGUGGGUGACACAAUGCACAACAUUGGCCCCCUGUGGGUGAGCACGAACUCUCGGUGUCACAUCUUAGACAGAAUGUGAACUGCUGGAGCUCUGUCCUUUCUUUUGGAAAACCAAAAGGUCGAGGUAAAUGACACGAAGCACGUGCUUUUGAAUAUUAUUCUUAGCAAUAGAAAAAUGCAGUUCUAUUUUCAUUGUAUAGGCUGAGUACUUCCCACGAGUUAGCAUGCUGCCAUUCUCUCGCCUUUACUUAAACUUUUCUCUUGAGAAUUGAUGAGGUUUACAAAUACCUUAUGAUACUUAUCAAGAACAGUUUCUGCCUCCCCUUCUGGAAUGCCAGUUUUAUUGGCGUAAGCAUUCUUGAUCUUUUCGGUCCCUGCUAUAUUUUGAAAGUUCUACUAUACAUCCCCCCACUUUCCUUUAUUUACUAGGCUAUUCCACUGUUUGACUUCCUACUGAGGUUGUAAAAAGACCUUCCCAAUGUCACGUUAGAAUUUCUUUUAUUCGGAAUGCAAGCCUUUAGCUGGCAAUGAAAAGCCAAUAGAACCUUCAACCCUUAUAAGUUCUUUGUUUUACUUACAGAAGAACUAAUAAGUCACAGGGCACACAAACACACUGUUUUUUCUUCAUAUGCCAUUCAGUUGACAAAAUGAAAUAUUGCUUAUAUUCUGAAAAUCGGGAGGAUAGCCUUGUUAGUCUUGAUUUAAAGAGUAUAUGGCCUAUCCUAAUCUUUUGUAUUUGCUUACUAGAUUAUGAAUGUAGGAUGCUAAGUAGACUUAGUAUUAUAUAAAAUUAAUUAUAAUUUCACGAGUGAUUUUGACUAAUAUCUCUGUCUUUCUAUCUCCUUAGAUUUAUGCUAUAGCAAAUCCAAGCAGAAAAUAUCAAUUUCUCUUUCUAAAGUUUAUUUCAUAUUAGAUCAUGAGAAUAUUAGGCUGUGAAGCACUUUGUCAUUGGAAUUGAAGACAUAUUUUCCAAGAAACAUUUUAGAAUCUUAAAGACAAAUUAUUGUCUUCCCAGACGUGGCCUUUUCCCACAAUAUAACGCAAUAUUCCACAGUAUUUUUUAUAAUUCAAUUCAAAAGAUGGCAUCAUAUUUAGAUUUGAUUUUUAUGCGAAUUAUAAUGAUUGACCUAAGCUUUGAUUAAUAGACAAGAAAACAAAAGCCAAUAUUGACUAAGUGUUUAUAUCAUACAAGUAAAGAGGAGGCAGACUACAGAGAUAGCUUAAGCAAACUACAGGAUAAAUAUUUAAACAUUAUCUUCUCCUAUAAAGUAGUUGAACCUUUUCACGAAUGUAGUUAAAGCAACAGCUCAUCUUAUAGGAAGAGAAUGAAAAGGUCACCAGAAAUAAAGUUAAUUAGCUUUUCAGCAGAAGUCAAGACCUUCUGAUUUCCUUCAGGAUCUCUCAAGACUCAAUAUUGAGAACAUGAAAAUGACAAGGCUGUAGCAUCAAUCUUUUAUAACAAACUUUGAGUUCAUUUCAUUAUCCAUCACAUCACAUCUCUCUGAAGGAAUACCACCUUUACUCAGACCCACUCUUCCUUACCACCUGCUGUCCAAGACAGACUGAAAGCCCCUUGCCUAGGGUCUCACACUGUAUUGACAUUAUUGUUUGGUUUAUCUGUGACUUUUAUAUACGGAAGGACCUUUACUCGUCCUUAGAACUAGCAAAGGUCUUGGAACAACGCAGCUUCUAAAAGUGCAUGUCUAAAAUUAUAAAUGAAAUAACUGAGAAAAUAUUUUAGAAAAAGGUAAGGAUAAUAUUAAAAGACCAGUGAAAUAAACUAAGUGAAAAAAAAACCCACAAAGACAGAAGAGAUAAGAGAAGUUAAAUGAAAGAAGAAAAUUAGUCCUUAGGUUUUAGAGCUAUAUAAAAUGAGAGAGAAAUUCAGAAAGAAAAUAAAAUAUUUCCCAAAACUCCACAGUGAGCAAUCAGAGUCAAAUCUCAGGAAAUACGCUUGCGAAACAGCUAAACUCAAAUGGAAUCACUCUGAGUCUGGAAGCCAGUGGUGUGUGUUUGGUUGGAAGUGAUCAGAGCUAAAAGCUAGAACUCACACAUGUUUUACAUUUUGCUUCUGUUUUCAGUUUUCUCAGUAAAUUUUACUGAUGCCUCUUCUUUCCAUUCUUUUGUUUAUUGUCUUUGUCUACUGGAAGACUGAAGAAUGACUUCAGUGUCUAGGCUAUUAGACAUGUGUAGUAAUGUAGACAAGCCUACACGUGCUGUAAUAUUUGGUGCUCAUUUGGGAAGUGUUUGAGAAGUGAACAAGGUAGCCAUAAUGUUUUGGUGUGCUGUGUAAAGUUUGCCCUUGUAUUAUUCAAAUGCCCUUAUAUUUUGAUUUAAUAUGGACAUGGCAUUGUAGUGCUUAUACCAAGAAUCUCCUGUCUAAAGUUUAUGUAAACAAUUCUUAGCAUUUAUUCUCUGCCUUGUCAAUAUAUGCUGAUCACCCAAUGGCUGGACAGAAUACAGAACAGGGCGGGAUUUCUGCCAACAAAAGAAAAGAGACAGGGAGAGAGGGAGAUUCAGAUCAGCCAAGAGGAUGGAGGAUUUGGGGCCAUUAGGAAGGGGUCUGGAGAGAGACCACAGAAAGGCACCUGAAGCCCUAAGAGCCAGAUCAAUAAUAAUAUGUGAGUAUCCUGGGAAGGGGCUGGGACUUAGCCAGAUUACCAUAGAAAGCUAAGGUGGGUAAUUUGAAUGCUCAGCUAGUGGGGGUACAGUUUUAAAUCAGUGUUGUUUCUCUGUGUGGUUAUUGGAGACUAACACAGAUGAAUAAAUACAGCUAUAGGAUUAAUUUAUGGCUACAUUUAUAUUAAAGAUAAUUCAUUUAAGAACACCAAUACAAUCCACUAGGGAGGCAAGAGACAGACAGCACUGUAAGUCAUUUAUUUUAGUAAAGGACUUUGCCUUUGUUGAGGCAAAUGCACGGUUUACUGCUAGUUUGUUCUCACUGCUUUGGUUAGUAAUACAAACGUUGUUGCUUGGCCUUUAUUUGACCUAUACAGAUGUAACUUGGAAAAUAAUAUAGUAACAUCACAAUAUUGAAUUACUUUAGUUAAUACUUCCUGGCAAAAGAUAAAUUUUAUCUUCUGUUUUUCUAAUGCUUGUGAAGUUUUGAUGGCAGCUACUUUGAAGAUAAAAAUCUUCAUACCAAUUAUGAGGUUAAGACAAUGUGGAAAUUUUCAACAUAUCCAUAGAAAUCAACAACUUUAAGGCAUUGCAAUUCUCCAGAUAUGGACAAAUUUGAGAUGAUUAGAAUGUUAGCAGUGGAAACUUGGAUUUUUUGUUGUAAGAAGUUGGAGCUGGGAACUGGAAAGGAGGUGCUGAGGAGGUAACCCAUAGUAGCACACACAGCUCAUGGAGGAAAAUAAACCAGAGCAUUAGCUGCAGCCCGGGUUGAAUCCUUGGAAGGGCGGCUAAAACAAGAAGACCCAUGGCGGGGUGGUUAGCUGGAAACACCUUGAGGCCAGGGCUGAGUGAUGUGGAGAGCCCAGCUGUGAAGAGAUUCAACCCUACCUUCCCAUGUACUGCUCGGUAUGAUCUCAAACAGAUUACUGUAGGUUUUCCUCAGUUGUAAAUGGAUUAAAAUGUUACUACUGUAGGUUUUCCUCAGUUGUAAAUGGAUUAAAAUGUUACUUAAUUCA
rnacentral:sRNA from 1 species